ACGCAUAUUGCGCCCGAGGCCUCGGACAAGGGCAUGUCUGCCUCAGCGUCGGGUUAAAACUCAUCCUAACCACCUCUGUGAUGUGGUGGUUGUGUGAUGGAACUGGCUGUCCCACCACGUGUCUGUACGACAUGUACUGCACAAGCGGGUCAGCUGAAGUACAUCUGUUGCUGAUGGACCCUAUGAUGGGCCUCUACUGGGUAGGCAACACGUUUGCUGCAAUGCUUUAGUAGGUGGCAUUGGGACAGUGAGCAGCACGAAACAGGAUUUUACUUGUGAUGAGUAAGAACAAACCUUUUCACGACCGGAGAGCAGGCAAGAGUUCGCGCUGAACUU
rnacentral:misc_RNA from 1 species